UACGUAGGGAGCAAGCGUUGUCCGGAAUCAUUGGGCGUAAAGCGCGCGUAGGUGGCCACAUAAGUCCGUUGUGAAAGUCAAAGGCUCAACCUUUGAAAGCCGAUGGAUACUGUGUGGCUAGAGUACGGAAGAGGCGAGUGGAAUUCCUGGUGUAGCGGUGAAAUGCGUAGAUAUCGAGAGGAACACCUGCGGCGAAGGCGGGUUGCUGGGCCGACACUGACGCUGAUGCGCGAAAGCCAGGGGAGCGAACGGG
rnacentral:rRNA from 1 species